UGGGGAAUUUUGGACAAUGGGCGCAAGCCUGAUCCAGCCAUACCGCGUGAGUGACGAAGGUCUUCGGAUUGUAAAGCUCUUUUAGCAGGGAAGAUAAUGACGGUACCUGCAGAAUAAGCCCCGGCUAACUUCGUGCCAGCAGCCGCGGUAAUACGAAGGGGGCUAGCGUUGUUCGGAAUUACUGGGCGUAAAGCGCACGUAGGCGGAUUGAUAAGUUAGAGGUGAAAUCCCGGGGCUCAACCUCGGAACUGCCUUUGAUACUGUUAGUCUCGAGUCCGAUAGAGGUGAGUGGAAUUCCUAGUGUAGAGGUGAAAUUCGUAGAUAUUAGGAAGAACACCAGUGGCGAAGGCGGCUCACUGGAUCGGUACUGACGCUGAGGUGCGAAAGCGUGGGGAGCAAACAGGAUUAGAUACCCCCGUAGUCCCUGAGCGGGCUGGCAAGGCGCAU
rnacentral:rRNA from 1 species